rnacentral:rRNA from 1 species
AUUGAACGCUGGCGGCAGGCCUAACACAUGCAAGUCGAACGGUAACAGGAAGAAGCUUGCUUCUUUGCUGUCGAGUGGCGGACGGGUGAGUCAUGUCUGUGAAACUGCCUGAUGGAGGGGGAUAACUACUGGAAACGGUAGCUAAUACCGCAUAACGUCGCAAGCCCAAAGAGGGGGACCUUCGGGCCUCUUGCCAUCGGAUGUGCCCAGAUGGGAUUAGCUAGUAGGUGGGGUAACGGCUCACCUAGGCGACGAUCCCUAGCUGGUCUGAGAGGAUGACCAGCCACACUGGAACUGAGACACGGUCCAGACUCCUACGGGAGGCAGCAGUGGGGAAUAUUGCACAAUGGGCGCAAGCCUGAUGCAGCCAUGCCGCGUGUAUGAAGAAGGCCUUCGGGUUGUAAAGUACUUUCAGCGGGGAGGAAGGGAGUAAAGUUAAUACCUUUGCUCAUUGACGUUACCCGCAGAAGAAGCACCGGCUAACUCCGUG